rnacentral:rRNA from 1 species
CAAGUCGCACGGGUGGUUUCGGCCAUCAGUGGCGGACGGGUGAGUAACGCGUAGGAACGUGUCCAGAGGUGGGGGACAACCCCGGGAAACUGGGGCUAAUACCGCAUGGGGGCUGAGGCCCAAAGCCGAGAGGCGCCAUUGGAGCGGCCUGCGUCCGAUUAGGUAGUUGGUGGGGUAAAGGCCUACCAAGCCUGCGAUCGGUAGCUGGUCUGAGAGGACGACCAGCCACACUGGGACUGAGACACGGCCCAGACUCCUACGGGAGGCAGCAGUGGGGAAUAUUGGACAAUGGGCGAAAGCCUGAUCCAGCAAUGCCGCGUGGGUGAAGAAGGUCUUCGGAUCGUAAAGCCCUUUCGACGGGGACGAUGAUGACGGUACCCGUAGAAGAAGCCCCGGCUAACUUCGUGCCAGCAGCCGCGGUAAUACGAAGGGGGCUAGCGUUGCUCGGAAUUACUGGGCGUAAAGGGCGCGUAGGCGGCGGCCCAAGUCAGGCGUGAAAUUCCUGGGCUCAACCUGGGGACUGCGCUUGAUACUGGGUUGCUUGAGGAUGGAAGAGGCUCGUGGAAUUCCCAGUGUAGAGGUGAAAUUCGUAGAUAUUGGGAAGAACACCGGUGGCGAAGGCGG